rnacentral:lncRNA from 1 species
AAGGAGUUGCCAUUAUCAUCCCCGAUAUGGAGGCGGGGAACCCAAAACACCAAGAGCAGUGGGUGCUUAGGAAGCCACAGAGCUGGGAGUAGAGCCCCAGCAGCCUGAUCCAGAGCCCCUGUUCUUCACCACCACCCUGCCCUCCUCCAGGGAGCACAAUGGGGGUCCCGGAGCCUCUUUCCAUCUGUUGGAUCUCGGUGAGAGGGUCUCACUCUGUCACCCAGGCUGGAGCUCUGUGGCACGAUUGCACUGCAGCCUCAGAUUCCCAGGCUCAAGCAAUCCUCCUGCCUCAGCCUCCCAAGUAGCUGGGACUACAGGUAUGUGCCACCACACCCGACUAAACAUAAAGACAUUCUCAUGGUUAAAAUUUUUCAAGCAAAAUAGGUUUU